GACACGUAUUACAUCUGUGUUGAGACAACUAAUUUCCCCAUUCAUUUUCACUUCUACUAAUCCAUUUUUUCCCAGACUUCUCUCCCCCUGCUUCCCGCUCCUUUCUCUGCAGAUUGUUGCAUACCUUUGCUACAAAUUGGUCUUUCUUUCCGGUUGGUCGGAGAGCUCUUCGUCAUUUAUCUUUGUGUGGGUUAAAUUUUUCCUUUUUUUUUAACAGUUUAUUUUUCGAAAAUUUUAUGGGUCUUUGUAUAUUGACUAGAUUGGACACAGGUAAAAUCAAAUAAAGAUUCAUCUUCCCCACUCGCCCUCCAUAUUAGCAUCUCCAUGCAGAUAACCCUCAAUUGCUUCAAACUCUUGCAACCAUGCCUGCCGUAUCAACGCUUCAAAGCUUAACCAACAAUUCUCUUCAUCUAGUAUGUGCCUAUUGUUUUCUCUUUCUGGUGGCCUCUAUGAAGAAUGUAAAUUCUGUUAAUGGGGUAUUUGAAACUACUAAGCCAGGCGGUGAAUUCUUUCAUUAGUUAAGAGAAUGAAUAGACCUACAGUUGAGUGGCAGUAUGCUGGAAACAUAAUCUAUUACAUUGAUAGCGGAAAACUUAUUGCAGAAGUUAAAAGUGGAGGUAUGUCACAUACUGUUUUCUGGUCACAGAGAGGCGAUUCUACUCUUUUGAACCUUGAACCACUACAUUUUCCUCAUGAAUGUGGCUCAAGGUUACUCCACAUGCUUUCUUUUUCGAGGCAGGGAGCAUGGCGUGGUCAUUAUGAAGGCUUUUUUUGUUGAUUUUGGAAACUCUCUCAUGCAUUUCCUCAAAGUAAGUGUUUCCGACUGAAAUAAGAAAAACUUGUGAUUUUCAGCCUUUUUAAAGUCUGUUUACUUCAGUUUGAGUCGGACUUGCAAAUGCUACUCUUCCUAUGACUUGCUGUGCAUUUCUUGGAAACUCUACUUCUUUCUGUAAGAAGAUUUCAUGUGAUUCGAUAUCCAGUGUAAACACUGAUAUCUGGUUACAUCUAAUCUUUUAUUAUCACUGCAAAUGAGCUUGUAAGGAAGAUACGGAAUACAAAUAUGCUAGCUCUAAGCGAUGUGGGUAUUUCGAUAAUAUUGUUCAAAGUAUAACUCUGUUAAAAUAAUGAUAUAACAAUUGUUACUAGAUCCACAUGCUAUGCAACUUAUUUUUCUUUGGCGUUAUGUGUUAGAAGAAAAGAAGGAAAUUGAAUUUUCACUUUGAACAUGAAAAAUUGUAAUUGUUGCCUAUCAUUUGCAUGACAA